rnacentral:rRNA from 1 species
CCUACGGGAGGCAGCAGUGGGGAAUUUUGGGCAAUGGGGGAGACCCUGACCCAGCGACGCCGCGUGAGGGAAGACGGCCUUCGGGUUGUAAACCUCUUUUGUACGGGAAGAUAAUGACGGUACUGUACGAAUAAGUCCCGGCUAACUACGUGC